UACGGGGGGGGGGCAAGCGUUUGUUCGGAAUUACUGGGCGUAAAGGGCUCGUAGGCGGCCAACUAAGUCAGACGUGAAAUCCCUCGGCUUAACCGGGGAACUGCAUCUGAUACUGGAUGGCUUGAGUUCGGGAGAGGGAUGCGGAAUUCCAGGUGUAGCGGUGAAAUGCGUAGAUAUCUGGAGGAACACCGGUGGCGAAGGCGGCAUCCUGGACCGACACUGACGCUGAGGAGCGAAAGCCAGGGGAGCAAAGCGGG
rnacentral:rRNA from 1 species